GAUAUGACGAAAAUAAAAUAAAUCUUUUUUUCUUCUUUUUAAAAAGGCGCCAAAACUUAAUAAACCAUUCAUUAUUUUAAUGAACCAUUCAUUAUUUCAAUUAUUCGUUAAGAUUCAUAUUUAACGAAUACAUUUACUGUCGAAGUGAGCGUGUUCAUGAAUUUAAUGAACGUGUUCAUAGAUUUAAUGAACGUGUUCAUAGAUUUAAUGAACGUGUUCAUUGAUUUAAUGAACCGUUCAUAAAUUCAAUGUAUAGUUAAUCAAAACUUAACGAAGGGCAACUUGCAUGUUUCAGUAAUCACACUUUUAAAAAGUGUAUCAAAUUAUGGACAAGGUUUUCAUAUCAUUUAACGAAUACAUUUAUUGUGGAAGUGAGCGUGUUCAUGAAUUUUAUGAGUGUGUUCAUAGAUUUAGGAACGUGUUCAUUGAUUUAAUGAACCGUUCAUUAAAAUUUAACGAAGGGCAACUUGCAUGUUGCAGUGAUCACACUUUUAAAAAGUGUAUCAAAUUAUGAACAAGAUUUUCAUAUCAUUUAACUUUUUACUAAAGUAAUAAUUUUAUUCAGUAUGAGAAUAAAAUGUUUUGAGACCACAUUUGACAGGUGUCGAAAUAUCAUUUUUUUUAACCGAGUUGGGGAAUCAAAUAAGACGGGGCUUAUUACCUUGUGUAUUUUUUUGUGUUUGUACAUAUUAAGUAGUUUUGUGUUUUGUUCUCAUUUUCAAAGUUUUCUUGCUCACACAAACAUUUAUCUCGGUUGAACAACCGUUCGUAUCAAUGUGAACAGUAGUUAACGAAACAAGGAGAUGUAAAUGUUGUUGAAUGUGAAAACCCCUUUAGUACUUAUUUUUUGGUGUCGUUUCAUCUGUUUGUGCUUUCAACAUGAAAGAAAAUUUUAAGUUAUUUUUUUUUACUGUGAUUGUCAAUAUUCUUACAAUAUCUAUGAUAUUCGAUUUUUGAAAACAUAUAUUUACAAGAUAUUACCUUUUGUGUAUUAACUGUGCUCUUUGCACAUAGUUCACACUUAAAUUUUAAAGAACGCGUAAAAUAAAGUGGGAACACUACUUGUUGAUACGUAGAACGAAAGAAUUCCUUUCGUUAAAUGAUGUAGCCGGCGUCCCCAAGCCAACCCAAGCCAUUCAGUUACAGUGUGAAUGUCUGAUCGAUAAGAGGAGCUAUUCAGCGGAGAGCUGAAGCAAAAAUAAAAAGAGAUUUGUUCGAUUUCCCAUUUGCCGCCGUCCGCCCGUCGCCUGCUGCCAUCACGUCGUUUCAUGCAUCAAAAAUUUAAGUGCUCUUCUUACACCACGUUGCCACCACCACGCUGCCGCCACAUAUUGUCUGCCUCCGGUGUCUUUGUCGUCAUUUGCCACACCAC